CACGUAGGGCGCGAGCGUUGUCCGGAAUUAUUGGGCGUAAAGAGCUCGUAGGCGGCCUGUUGCGUCCGCUGUGAAAGCCCGGGGCUUAACCCCGGGUCUGCAGUGGAUACGGGCAGGCUAGAGGUAGGUAGGGGAGAAUGGAAUUCCCGGUGUAGCGGUGAAAUGCGCAGAUAUCGGGAGGAGCACCGGUGGCGAAGGCGGUUCUCUGGGCCUUAACUGACGCUGAGGAGCGAAAGCGUGGGGAGCGAACAGG
rnacentral:rRNA from 1 species